rnacentral:lncRNA from 1 species
CUACCGAAUGAGGAUGCUAAAAAGACUUGUUGAUCAUGCAACCAGUACUACUGAAAGUAGUAGCGAAGUAGACUUAGAUUUGGAUAUUCUUGUUAUUUUGGUUUCCGAGGUGCAAGAAUUUGUCAGACCUGUCCUAAGCAUGAUGCGGGAAGUUGCUGAGCUUGCAAAUGUUGAUCGGGCAGCUCUUUGGCACCAGUUAUGUGCUAGUGAAGAUGCAAUUAUCCGCACACGUGAAGAGAGAAAGGUCGAAAUGUCAAAUAUGGUCAAGGAAAAAGCUGCUUUAUCCCAGAAAUUAAGUGAAUCUGAGGCUGCAAAUCAUCGGCUAAAGGUGUGUUUCUUAAACUAAUGAUAAUGUUCAGUUCAGGGACUCCUCUCGCAUAUAAAAUCUUUUCUGGAAAUUUUUAGAAUUAACACAUUUUAAAAUUGACAGUCUGAAAUGAGGGCUGAGAUGGAUCGCUUUGCUCGGGAAAAGAAGGAACUUUCUGAACAAAUACAGGAGGUUGAGAGUCAACUUGAGUGGCUUCGUUUAGAGAGAGAUGAUGAAAUUGCAAAAUUAACUAAUGAGAAAAAAGCACUUCAGGAUCGUCUUCAUGAUGCAGAAGCUCAGCUCUCUCAGUUAAAGUCUCGGAAACGAGAUGAGUUGAAGGUACUUUUGAUGACUAAUGUGUUGCCUCUUUGUACUUCUCCUCUUGUUCUGCCUUGCGUUGAUGGAAAUCUUAGUGCUUGAUCUGACAACUGUUAUGUAUCUAACAGAGAGUAGUAAAGGAGAAGAAUGCUCUUGCUGAAAGAUUGAAGAGUGCUGAUGCUGAACGGAAAAGAUUUGAUGAAGAAUUGAAACGGUAUGCCACAGAAAAUGUGACUCGCGAAGAAAUUCGUCAGUCACUUGAGGAUAAAGUUCGUAGAUUGACCCAAACAGUGGGGCAAACUGAAGGUGAAAAGCGGGAAAAAGAAGAGCAGGUAGCUAGGUGCGAAGCAUAUAUUGAUCGCAUGGAAUCAAAGUUGCAGGCCUGCCAGGUUUUUGUUUCAUCAUAGUUCCUCUACUUUCUAUUUAGUUAUAUUUUAAUUUGAAUUUCUAGGAGGUUUGUAACUAUUUAGUGGCAAGAGCUGGAUGGGGUUUAAUAUCGGACAUGCCAUUAUCUAUCUUUUGGUUUGUGAUGCCUAGUUUGCAAAUGAAUCAUCAUUUUUCUGUGCUGUCACGGAAAGUUGUGAGCUUAGAAAGUCUAAUUGAAUAUAUAUUUGUUGUGUUUGCAGCAAUAUAUUCACACCCUGGAAGCCUCACUUCAAGAAGAAAUGUCCCGACAUGCCCCUCUCUAUGGUGCUGGUCUGGAAGCUCUAUCCAUGAAAGAGUUGGAAACAUUGUCUAGGAUUCACGAGGAAGGGCUGAGGCAAAUCCAUGCCCUCCAGCAGCGUAAAGGCAGUCCUGCUGGUAGUCCACUUGUGAGUCCACAUGCUAUCCCACAUAAUCACGGGUUGUACCCUACAACACAACCACCGCCGAUGGCUGUUGGAAUGCCACCGUCCUUCAUCCCUAACGGUGUAGGUAUUCACGGUAAUGGGCACGUCAAUGGAGCUGUUGGGCCUUGGUUCAACCAUGCUUGAUUUCUCGGGCUGUAUGUUCUUGCCCCAUAGAGUUGGUUAACAUCUCUCAUUUCUCCAUUUGACGAGAUGUCCUAUUUUUGAAUUCUUUUUAUUUUCUUUUUUUGGCAUUUUUGCUGCUAGAACUUUUGGAAGCACAUCACUGAGAAAGAAAUAAUAAGUUGGGGGGGGGGGGGGGGCGAGGCAUCCCAUUCCCCGGUAAAGGAAAGGGUUGUGGGUAGCAUUCUGCUGAUUGAAUGUCUGCAUUUCAAAUAGAACUAACAGUUGGAAAAUGCCAUUUUACGUCAAUGCUUCUUCUUCUGGUUAUUUUUUUUAUAGAAGUUAAUCAUAGGCUUAAGAGAAGUUUUGAUGAUGACUUUUUUAUUCAUUGUUUCUUUAUCCUGGCGUUUUAUUAAUUUGAUUCCUAUCAAUUUUAGUUGGUGUUGGAGGAAUGACGUGACUGGUGACAUGACAUUUUUUGGGUUGGUUUUGCAUGGAAACGUGACAUUUUGGAUCCAAAUUUAUAACCUUCUGAAGUUCGGAUCUUUUAUUCCUGAACAUUUAAAUGUUUAUUCUAUAUCUCAACCCAAUUUCUAAGAAAAUCCCUUUUCUUAUAACUGAAAAAGAAAAUUCAUAAAUCCAAUAUUUAUUCACUUACAACUGAUUAUAUUAUGAAAAGCGGUUUAUGAUUUUUUCGAUUCCAAUUCAACUUUAAUCACCUUUAAGUUCUAAAGUUCUUUUUUCGAGAAAAGAGAAUAAAAAAAAGGUUCUUUUUAAUGACACAAUCUUAUAUGAAGUGCAACAUAAACCCUUCUGUAUUUUAUACUUAUUUAAAAAAGUCCUGUCUAUUUAAAUAGUCGAAUCAGUCCUCAACAAUCAACAUGUAAAUCUUAUCACAUAUAAGCAUCUAUCAGAAUUUGCAAAAUACAAUUUUUUUAACAAUUUUUGUUUUUUGAAAGAGAUUUUUUCAAACUACAAUUUAAUUUAAUUUGAAAUCCAAAAUAUUAAUUUAAUCUAUUUCUUUAAUAAUUCAUAAUAAAAUAUUAUCUAUAUUUAAAAAAAAUUUAAAUCCCUUAGAGCUUUCCUUUUAUAUAAAGUCGUAUAAAUAAUUAUAAUUACAAAGAAGAAGAAGAAGAAGUUAAUGAAGCUUUUAAAGCUUUCAUUUUAUAUGGAGUUGUAUAAAUAUACGUCGGAAAUAUAAAUCCGUGUUUAAUGACUUAAUAUUAAUUAUACCAUGAAACAUACAAUGUCGUAAGUAGCAACUUAACUAAACUUAAAAUGAUGGCUUUCUUAUGUAAUUUGAGUGGGAAUGUAUGUGCAUUAAGUACAGGUUUCAAACACAAUGAGGUUACACAUUUCCAAUCACGAUGUUCGCAAUUGCCAUGUUAAGCAGAUUCAUCAAUUAUUCCGGUAAAUUAUUGAACCUAAUACCACCCUAACGAUAGAGAAAUAAAAAUAAAAAAUCAACUUGAGGCAUGGUGCUUUCUCGAAUGAUGAUUUUACAUAAAGAUAAAUUCCAAUGAGAUGUAGAUUUAUAUAUGAAAAAGAAAAAUUAAUCCAUCAUGCUAUUGGUUUAGUAGUUAAUUUGUUAGGGUUUAAGUUAAUUGACAUAAAAACAUUUUGUUUUUCAUCAAAGCUCUACUUUUUAUUCUAAUUUUCUUAAAAACAUGAAAAUUCCUUUCGCUCAAAUAAUUGUUUUAGAGUUAUUUAGUGCCAUUGUUUCACUUAUAAUCAUAUUCAUUCAUAACGAAUAACAACAUAAAUGCCGUUGCAAACCACUUUCUUUUUUCCGUCUAGAAAUUAAACAACCGAGGGUUGUUCAAAUGGACGGGUCACGUGCAUCUGGACUAAGGCCCCAUACUUGACGGGCCCAAAAGUAGGUGCACACAUCCAUAGCCCAGUCAACCGAAUGGACGGCAGUGGCUCUUGAUGAGAUCAAUAUUCACAGAAAUCGCACUGGAAGGUGCAGGGUAAGGACGGUGCGCCCUCUUUGUACCUGACCCGAAGCGUAUUCCUCCCCCUUACCCUCUCUGUUCAUUUCUCUCUCUAAAAAACAGAGCUCAAAAGCAAAAAAAAGGAACAUAAAUUUUUUUGGUUAUUAAAACCAGCGUUCGAGAGGGAGACAGAAUACCCAAAAUAAAAAUAUAAAGAAAAAGGAGACAGGGACAAUGAAGCAGAGCUCAUCUGAAGCAGUCUCCUCAUCGUCUUCUUCCUCUACGCCCAGCGGACCUGACCAAUCACAGCCCGCCACCUCAGCAUCAGUACCUGAAAACCACCACAACCACAGCAAUAGCAAACCCUUGGCAUCGAUAUCGGCGGCGGAUGACUUAGCUGGUGCGGGGUCGAGAGACGGCAGCGGCGGGGCCCAGGAAACGGUGACCUUCGAUCGACGAGGAGAAUACUCGGCGGUCUGCAGAUGGACGAUUAAUAAUUUCUCGAGAAUCAAAGCUAGGGCACUAUGGAGCAAGUACUUCGAGGUAGGCGGUUACGAUUGCCGUUUAUUGGUGUAUCCAAAAGGGGACUCCCAGGCUUUGCCGGGUUACAUAUCCAUUUAUCUCCAAAUCAUGGACCCGCGGGGUACAUCAUCGUCUAAAUGGGACUGCUUCGCCAGCUACCGCUUAACCAUUGUCAAUCUAAUCGACGAUUCCAAAAGCAUUCACCGUGAUUCAUGGCAUCGUUUCUCAAGCAAGAAGAAAUCUCACGGUUGGUGUGAUUUCACGCCUUCUUCUACUGUUUUCGAUCCCAAGUCAGGUUAUCUCUUCAAUAACGACGCCGUUUUGAUUACCGCCGAUAUCUUAAUCUUGAAUGAAUCCGUUAGUUUCACACGUGAUAAUAAUGAUGUUCAAUCCUCAUUGUCUUCCAUGAUUUCGUCUUCUGUUGUUGCCAUUCCCGUUUCUGAUGUUUUGAGUGGCAAAUUCACUUGGAAAGUGCAUAAUUUUAGUUUGUUUAAGGAGAUGAUUAAGACACAGAAGAUAAUGAGCCCGGUUUUCCCAGCCGGGGAGUGUAACUUGAGGAUUAGUGUGUAUCAAAGCUCGGUUAACGGGCAAGAGUAUUUGUCUAUGUGUUUGGAGAGUAAGGAUACUGAUAAAACGGUUGCUUCUGAUAGGAGUUGUUGGUGUUUAUUUAGAAUGUCGACCCUGAAUCAGAAGCCAGGGUCGAAUCAUAUGCACAGAGACUCGUAUGGGAGGUUUGCUGCAGAUAAUAAGAGUGGGGAUAAUACCAGUUUGGGAUGGAAUGACUACAUGAAGAUGUCGGAUUUUGUUGGGCAGGAGGCGGGGUUUUUGGUGGAUGAUACUGCUGUAUUUAGUACUUCAUUUCAUGUGAUCAAAGAGUUUAGUAGUUUUUCCAAGAAUGCAGGGUUGAUAGCAGGUAGGACAGGGAGUGGAGCAAGGAAGUCUGACACGUAUAUGGGAAAAUUCACUUGGAAGAUUGAGAAUUUUACAAGGUUGAAGGAUCUGUUGAAGAAGAGGAAGAUAACAGGUCUUUGCAUCAAGAGCAGGAGAUUUCAGAUUGGAAAUCGAGAUUGUCGCCUGAUUGUUUACCCUCGAGGUAAUGUAAGAAACAUUGUAAAUUCUUUUGCAAUGAAUUAGAUUUUGUGUUCAUUUUUCUACAGGCAAAUGGAAUCUGGUAUUUUAAGUUUAAGGAAGUGACUAGUCUUGCAUUUUGCUUUUUUUAUUUUAUUGGAUUGAACUACGAGAUGGUUGCAUGCUUAUGGUAAUUGUUCACUACUAAGGUUUUCGUUUCAAGUCCAAUUGGUAAUUUGGUGGCUUAACCUUCCACACUAAAUUCAUAUUUAACUUGUUUGAAAAUGUUUUGGCUUUACUUGCACGUUGCUUAGGUUUCUCUUAGGGUAGGGUGACAGAUUUUCUAGCUGUCAAUUGCUUCUUUUGUUUUGCCUCUAGAAACAGGGGUAUAUUUAACCCUUGUAAUCUACUUUGCUGUCAGUCCUAUUAUCUUUUCAUAUAGGACAAGGUGGCCUCCGUUUAGAAAGUGAACUGAUUGAAUUUUUAUAUGGGCUUGAUGGUAUCAGGGCAGUCUCAGCCACCGUGCCACCUUUCUGUGUUUCUUGAGGUUACUGAUUCACGAAAUACUUCCAGUGACUGGAGCUGUUUUGUAAGUCAUCGGCUGUCAGUUGUGAACCAAAAGGUGGAAGAGAAGUCAGUUACCAAAGAAUCUCAGAAUCGCUACUCUAAAGCUGCGAAAGACUGGGGUUGGCGUGAGUUUGUGACUCUCACCAGCCUAUUUGAUCAGGAUUCUGGUUUCCUUGUUCAGGAUACUGUUGUAUUCUCUGCAGAGGUUCUUAUUCUGAAAGAGACAUCGAUAAUGCAAGAUUUUAGUGAUCAGGAUUCUGAGUUAGCAAAUGCUGUUCCUCAGAUAGAAAGGGUUGGAAAGAGAAGUGCAUUCACAUGGAAGGUGGAGAAUUUCUUAUCUUUCAAGGAAAUCAUGGAAACCCGCAAGAUUUUUAGCAAAUUUUUUCAAGCUGGUGGAUGUGAGCUUCGAAUUGGUGGGAAAUUGUCUCCUGUUAACUCUCCAUUUAGAAUGCCCUUGUAGUUGGCUCUCUUGAUUAAUUGGUUGUUUCUAAUGAUGCAGGUGUGUAUGAGUCCUUUGAUACCAUUUGUAUAUACUUGGAGAGCGAUCAGUCAGUUGGUAGUGACCUUGACAAAAACUUCUGGGUUAAAUACAGAAUGGCUGUGGUGAAUCAAAAGAAUCCAGCCAAAACUGUCUGGAAGGAAUCUUCUAUUUGUACAAAGACAUGGAAUAAUUCUGUUUUGCAAUUCAUGAAGGUAUCAGAUAUGCUAGAAGCAGAUGCAGGGUAUCUUGUGCGAGACACUGUUGUUUUUGUUUGUGAAAUACUGGAUUGCUGCCCUUGGUUUGAGUUUUCAGACCUUGAGGUUAGUCUUUUUUGGACCUCUUCCUUUCAUGUGUUGUUUGAAAUUCGCCAAGAUGAGUUUUCUCUAUAUUGAAUUUUCCGAUUCAGAGUUAAUCCUUCUGGGCUUUCCAUUUAUAUGAAACUUGCUUUCUAUUACAAAGGAGUUUUGGCACAAAAAAAGGGCUUUUCUGCUGGAUGCCUUAUUAGAGUUUUUAUCAGUUUGGCCUGAAUUUUUUGUUAACUUGAUCCUUACCCAGUGAUACAUGCUCGGAUGGGUGAAAUUUAUUAAAUUUCAUUCACCGAAGCUGCCAAUUUCACCAUGGGCCUGAAAUUGGGCCUUGAGACUUGCAUCACCCAAUUUUGGCCGGCUUCUUUUAAGUCGCCUUUAAUGCAAAGUUCAUUACGUUCCCAAACUGACUACUUUGACAAAAGGGGUGAUACUAGUUAAAGCUAAUAUAUGUUUAGCCAUAAUAUCUUUUUAUUUCCUUGAAAGAAUGGCAUUUUUUUCUUAAUAUAUGUCUAGUGAACUAAUAUCAGAAUUUUAAUGUUUUGUUUUCUCUAAAUUUGCCAGGUUUUGGCUUCUGAAGAUGAUCAGGAUGCUCUAACAACUGAUCCUGAUGAACUCAUUGAUUCUGAAGACAGUGAAGGAAUAAGUGGGGACGAAGAAGAUAUCUUUAGAAACCUUCUUUCCCAAGCUGGAUUUCACCUUACCUAUGGAGAUAAUCCAUCGCAGCCACAGGUCACUUUACGGGAGAAGCUUCUCAUGGAUGCUGGGGCAAUUGCUGGUUUUCUGACUGGACUUCGUGUUUACCUGGAUGACCCAGCCAAAGUGAAACGUUUGUUGCUUCCAGCUAAGCUCUCUGGUAGUGGUAAUGGAAAGAAGGUUUCGAAGACUGACGAAUCUUCACCGAGUUUGAUGAAUUUGCUAAUGGGGGUCAAAGUUUUGCAGCAGGCAAUUAUUGAUCUACUCUUGGAUAUAAUGGUGGAAUGUUGUCAACCCUCAGGAGUAGCACACAGUGAUUCUUCAGAUGCAAACUCUAAACCUUCUUCCGAUGGCGGGGAAGCUACUAGCCCACUGGGCUGUGAACAGGAAAAUGGUGCUGUGGGAUCUGCUCAAUUUCCUACGAACGAAAGGUUGGCUUCUUGCGUGGAUGAUGGUAGCACUGCCUCUGCCGUGCAAAGCUCUGCCAUGAAUGGGAUUGAUAUCUCUGGAAAAGCUAUCCAUGGACUGCCUAUUUCUCCACCAGAGACAUCUGCUGGGGGUUCUUUGGAGAAUUCCUCACUUUGCACAAAGGUAUAAUUCAUAAAUAUAGUUGAACUGACUUGAUUACCAAUCAUGUAUUAACUGCUUGAACUAAUCAAAUUUCCAGACCAAGUGGCCUGAGCAGUCUGAGGAGCUUUUAGGGUUGAUUAUCAACUCAUUGAGAGCCCUAGAUGGAGCUGUUCCACAAGGAUGUCCGGAGCCAAGGAGGAGGCCCCAGUCUGCACAAAAGAUUACUCUCGUAUUGGAUAAAGCCCCUAAGCAUCUGCAACCUGAUCUAGUUGCAUUGGUGCCUAAAUUGGUAGAGCAUUCAGAGCAUCCACUGGCUGCUUAUGCACUACUGGAACGACUUCAAAAGACAGAGGCAGAGCCUGCAUUACGGAUACCCGUAAGAUAGUCUUUGUUCAGGACUUAGUUUUCUUUUACUUGUAGUAUAUGUCAGCUGUCAUUAGGACAUGCUUUUGGAGAAUGGGGGAGUUUCUGACAUUACUACAAAUUUUGAAUGCAUCUUUUUUUUUCCCAAAUAUGUUUUUUUUUUUGGUUAUAAAUUCAUUAUCUAAUCAUCAAUUUGUAAAUUAAUGAUUCUUCUAUUUCAGGUAUUUGGAGCUCUCAGUCAACUAGAAUGCGACAGUGAAGUGUGGGAACGUGUCUUAUUUCAAUCGUUUGAGCUUUUGGCAGAUUCAAAUGAUGAACCUCUGGUUGCAACAAUAGAUUUCAUCUUUAAAGCUGCAUUCCAAUGUCAACAUCUUCCAGAAGCUGUAUGAUAUACUUUCUCGUAUCGUUUUUUUAUUCUGCUUAUUAACAUUUUUCUGUGAAGCAUAACUCUUUUUGUUCUCUUCUGUAGGUUAGAUCUGUUCGUGUUAGGCUACAAAGUUUAGGCGCUGAGGUGUCUCCUUGUGUUUUUGAUUUUUUAAGUAAACUUGUAAAUAGUUGGGGAGAUCUUGCUGAGGCCAUACUAAGAGAUAUUAAUUGUGAUGGUGAUUUAGUUGAAAAUUGCUCGGCUGUGGCUUCUGGGCUCUUCUUGUGUGGUGAAAAUGGAUCCACUUCUGAAAGACCGCAUGCAGUGGAUGAGCAGGCUUUUUGUGCUACUCAUCAUUUUUCUGACAUUUAUAUCCUGAUUGAGAUGCUAUCUAUACCUUGCCUAGCUGUUGAAGCUUCUCAGACGUUUGAGAGAGCUGUGAGCGCUGGAGCCAUUGUAGCUCAGUCUGUAGCCUUGGUCUUGAAAAUGCGUCUUGCUCAGAGGUUGAGUCUUAAUUCCAGAUAUGUUGCUGAAAGCUUUCAGCAUGCUGAUGCUGUAAUUGAAGGAGAAGCCAGUGAGCGGCUUAGAGCUCAACGGGAUGAUUUCACUUCUGUUUUGAGUCUUGCCGAGACCUUGGCACUUUCUAGAGAUCUUCGUGUCAGGAGCUUUGUGAAAAUGCUUUAUACAAUAUUAUUUAAGUGGUAUGUAGAUGAGUCCUACAGAAUGAGAAUGCUAAAAAGACUUGUUGAUCGUGCAACCAGUACUACCGAAAGUAGUAAUGAAGUAGACUUAGAUUUGGAUAUUCUGGUCAUUUUGGUUUCUGAGGAGCAAGAAUUUGUCAGACCUGUCCUAAGCAUGAUGCGGGAAGUUGCUGAGCUUGCAAAUGUUGAUCGGGCAGCUCUUUGGCACCAGUUAUGUGCUAGUGAAGAUGCAAUUAUCUGCAUACGUGAAGAGAGAAAGGUCGAGAUGUCAAAUAUGGUCAAGGAAAAAGCU